rnacentral:rRNA from 1 species
AGAGUUUGAUCCUGGCUCAGAAUCAACGCUGGCGGCGUGCCUAACACAUGCAAGUCGAACGCGAAAGUCCCGCAAGGGAUCAGUAGAGUGGCAAACGGGUGAGUAACGCGUGGGCGACCUACCUUCGAGUGGGGGAUAACCUUCCGAAAGGAGGGCUAAUACCGCAUGACAGCCCAUGUUUGGAUACAUGGGACUCAAAGCCGGGGAUCGCAAGACCUGGCGCUUGGAGAGGGGCCCGCGUCCGAUUAGCUAGUUGGUGAGGUUACGGCUCACCAAGGCUCCGAUCGGUAUCCGGCCUGAGAGGGCGGACGGACACACUGGGACUGAGACACGGCCCAGACUCCUACGGGAGGCAGCAGUGGGGAAUUGUUCGCAAUGGGCGCAAGCCUGACGACGCAACGCCGCGUGGAGGAUGAAGACCUUCGGGUCGUAAACUCCUUUCGACCGAGAUGAAUUCCCGCCGCCCUAACACGGCGGCGGGUUGACAGUAUCGAGGGAAGCAGCCCGGCUAACUCCGUGCCAGCAGCCGCGGUA